AAAUUGAAGAGUUUGAUCAUGGCUCAGAUUGAACGCUGGCGGCAGGCCUAACACAUGCAAGUCGAGCGGUAGCACAGAGAGCUUGCUCUCGGGUGACGAGCGGCGGACGGGUGAGUAAUGUCUGGGAAACUGCCUGAUGGAGGGGGAUAACUACUGGAAACGGUAGCUAAUACCGCAUAACGUCGCAAGACCAAAGUGGGGGACCUUCGGGCCUCAUGCCAUCAGAUGUGCCCAGAUGGGAUUAGCUAGUAGGUGGGGUAACGGCUCACCUAGGCGACGAUCCCUAGCUGGUCUGAGAGGAUGACCAGCCACACUGGAACUGAGACACGGUCCAGACUCCUACGGGAGGCAGCAGUGGGGAAUAUUGCACAAUGGGCGCAAGCCUGAUGCAGCCAUGCCGCGUGUGUGAAGAAGGCCUUCGGGUUGUAAAGCACUUUCAGCGGGGAGGAAGGCGUUAAGGUUAAUAACCUUGGCGAUUGACGUUACCCGCAGAAGAAGCACCGGCUAACUCCGUGCCAGCAGCCGCGGUAAUACGGAGGGUGCAAGCGUUAAUCGGAAUUACUGGGCGUAAAGCGCACGCAGGCGGUCUGUCAAGUCGGAUGUGAAAUCCCCGGGCUCAACCUGGGAACUGCAUUCGAAACUGGCAGGCUAGAGUCUUGUAGAGGGGGGUAGAAUUCCAGGUGUAGCGGUGAAAUGCGUAGAGAUCUGGAGGAAUACCGGUGGCGAAGGCGGCCCCCUGGACAAAGACUGACGCUCAGGUGCGAAAGCGUGGGGAGCAAACAGGAUUAGAUACCCUGGUAGUCCACGCCGUAAACGAUGUCGAUUUGGAGGUUGUGCCCUUGAGGCGUGGCUUCCGGAGCUAACGCGUUAAAUCGACCGCCUGGGGAGUACGGCCGCAAGGUUAAAACUCAAAUGAAUUGACGGGGGCCCGCACAAGCGGUGGAGCAUGUGGUUUAAUUCGAUGCAACGCGAAGAACCUUACCUGGUCUUGACAUCCACAGAACUUUCCAGAGAUGGAUUGGUGCCUUCGGGAACUGUGAGACAGGUGCUGCAUGGCUGUCGUCAGCUCGUGUUGUGAAAUGUUGGGUUAAGUCCCGCAACGAGCGCAACCCUUAUCCUUUGUUGCCAGCGGUUAGGCCGGGAACUCAAAGGAGACUGCCAGUGAUAAACUGGAGGAAGGUGGGGAUGACGUCAAGUCAUCAUGGCCCUUACGACCAGGGCUACACACGUGCUACAAUGGCAUAUACAAAGAGAAGCGACCUCGCGAGAGCAAGCGGACCUCAUAAAGUAUGUCGUAGUCCGGAUUGGAGUCUGCAACUCGACUCCAUGAAGUCGGAAUCGCUAGUAAUCGUAGAUCAGAAUGCUACGGUGAAUACGUUCCCGGGCCUUGUACACACCGCCCGUCACACCAUGGGAGUGGGUUGCAAAAGAAGUAGGUAGCUUAACCUUCGGGAGGGCGCUUACCACUUUGUGAUUCAUGACUGGGGUGAAGUCGUAACAAGGUAACCGUAGGGGAACCUGCGGUUGGAUCACCUCCUUA
rfam:Klebsiella pneumoniae IS46, WGS project CBWL01000000 data, contig: rep_c932